UCAGAAACUCAAAUGAAUUGACGGGGGCCCGCACAAGCGGUGGAGUAUGUGGUUAAUUCGAUGCAACGCGAAGAACCUUACCUGGGUUUGACAUCCCGCGAAUCCCUAUGAAAAUAGGGAGUGCCCUUCGGGGAGCGCGGAGACAGGUGCUGCAUGGCUGUCGUCAGCUCGUGCCGUGAGGUGUUGGGUUAAGUCCCGCAACGAGCGCAACCCUUGUUGCCAGUUGCUACCAGGUAAUGCUGGGCACUCUGGCGAGACUGCCCGGGUCAACCGGGAGGAAGGUGGGGACGACGUCAAGUCAUCAUGGCCCUUACAUCCAGGGCUACACACGUACUACAAUGGCAGGUACAAAGGGUUGCCAAGCCGCGAGGCCGCGCUAAUCCCAGAAAGCCUGUCUCAGUCCGGAUUGCAGUCUGCAACUCGACUGCAUGAAGCUGGAAUCGCUAGUAAUCCCGGAUCAGCAUGCCGGGGUGAAUACGUUCCCGGGCCUU
rnacentral:rRNA from 1 species